rnacentral:rRNA from 1 species
UGAGCAACCUGCCCUGGACUCUGGGAUAAGCGCUGGAAACGGCGUCUAAUACUGGAUAUGAGACGUGAUCGCAUGGUCGUGUUUGGAAAGAUUUUUCGGUCUGGGAUGGGCUCGCGGCCUAUCAGCUUGUUGGUGAGGUAAUGGCUCACCAAGGCGUCGACGGGUAGCCGGCCUGAGAGGGUGACCGGCCACACUGGGACUGAGACACGGCCCAGACUCCUACGGGAGGCAGCAGUGGGGAAUAUUGCACAAUGGGCGGAAGCCUGAUGCAGCAACGCCGCGUGAGGGAUGACGGCCUUCGGGUUGUAAACCUCUUUUAGCAGGGAAGAAGCGAAAGUGACGGUACCUGCAGAAAAAGCGCCGGCUAACUACGUGCCAGCAGCCGCGGUAAUACGUAGGGCGCAAGCGUUAUCCGGAAUUAUUGGGCGUAAAGAGCUCGUAGGCGGUUUGUCGCGUCUGCUGUGAAAUCCCGAGGCUCAACCUCGGGCCUGCAGUGGGUACGGGCAGACUAGAGUGCGGUAGGGGAGAUUGGAAUUCCUGGUGUAGCGGUGGAAUGCGCAGAUAUCAGGAGGAACACCGAUGGCGAAGGCAGAUCUCUGGGCCGUAACU